CAUUGAACGCUGGCGGAAUGCUUUACACAUGCAAGUCGAACGGCAGCACGGGAGCUUGCUCCUGGUGGCGAGUGGCGAACGGGUGAGUAAUACAUAGGAACAUACCCAGUAAUGGGGGAUAACGCCGAGAAAUCGGUGCUAAUACCGCAUACGCCCUACGGGGGAAAGCGGGGGAUCUUCGGACCUCGCGUUAUUGGAUUGGCCUAUGUCUGAUUAGCUAGUUGGUGAGGUAAAGGCUCACCAAGGCGACGAUCAGUAGCUGGUCUGAGAGGAUGAUCAGCCACACUGGAACUGAGACACGGUCCAGACUCCUACGGGAGGCAGCAGUGGGGAAUUUUGGACAAUGGGCGCAAGCCUGAUCCAGCCAUUCCGCGUGAGUGAAGAAGGCCUUCGGGUUGUAAAGCUCUUUCGGCAGGAACGAAAUGGUUGCGGUUAAUAACCGCGACUUCUGACGGUACCUGAAGAAGAAGCACCGGCUAACUACGUGCCAGCAGCCGCGGUAAUACGUAGGGUGCGAGCGUUAAUCGGAAUUACUGGGCGUAAAGCGUGCGCAGGCGGUUUUGUAAGUCAGAUGUGAAAGCCCCGGGCUUAACCUGGGAAUGGCGUUUGAAACUACAAGGCUAGAGUGUGUCAGAGGGGGGUAGAAUUCCACGUGUAGCAGUGAAAUGCGUAGAGAUGUGGAGGAAUAC
rnacentral:rRNA from 1 species